AUGGAAACCCAUUGCAGUUGGCAGAGAGUGAAAGAGAGAGAAGGAAGGAAAGACGCAGGGACACAUCACCCAUCUCGCGCCUGCCCCUGGCUCAGCGCCCGGUGCCAACAGAACACCUUUCAGGAUCCACAGCAACGCAGACAACGAGUCCAGGAUCCCGGCCUCAGCUUGGAACGGAACAGUGUCAUGGCGGAGACGACGGCCUUUGUCUUGCUGGGUGUGAAAGCAUCCGCUGUGCUGGCUCCAAUGCGGCAGAAUCAAGUUUAGAGGAAAAAAGUGAUUAAAGUCAGCUUUGUGCCUCUUUGGUGUGGAAGACCCCCAAACCCCAAGUAGCCAGAUCCCUGGGUCCGAGGAAGGGCUCAUGGUUGGAGCAGCCUAGGCUGUAAUCCUGGCACUUGCGCCUUCGGUUGCUGCUUGCUGUUCGCUCCUGGGGGUCUGGAUAAUCUCCCUUGGCUUUACCGCACUGUCUGGCCCGCAUACAGGGCCCCCGUAACAUAUACCCGCUGCUGCUAUCACACGAAACUGUGGCGUUGCCCCUGAAUGGAUGGCACUGUGCCAACUCUUCUGCCAUCCGCCCUUGCAGCUUUUUUCUUUCCUCCCUCCCUCCCCUUCUCCUCCUCCUCCUCCCGUCGACUUGACGUUAAUUAACACACGGGUUAAUUGAUUUUAAAAGCCGAAGAAUUACAGUUAACUUUUCCCACAGGGUACAGACGCCAGCCGCUUGGCACACUCUGCCUUUCGCACUGGUGCAGGGGGGCAGGGAAAGCCCGCAGCAAAACCAGCAACUGCUGAGGGACGUUGCCUGCUUAUUGGAGUAGAGCGGAUAGAAGUCGACGUGGUGCUGCCUCACUCUUACAGUAUAUACAGCCGGUCUAUAUUUUGUUAAGUAAUCAAAGCACGGCGCUGCCUUUUCC
rnacentral:lncRNA from 1 species